AUUGAACGCUGGCGGCAUGCCUUACACAUGCAAGUCGAACGGUAACAGGUUAAGCUGACGAGUGGCGAACGGGUGAGUAAUAUAUCGGAACGUGCCCAGUCGUGGGGGAUAACUGCUCGAAAGAGCAGCUAAUACCGCAUACGACCUGAGGGUGAAAGCGGGGGAUCGCAAGACCUCGCGCGAUUGGAGCGGCCGAUAUCAGAUUAGGUAGUUGGUGGGGUAAAGGCCUACCAAGCCUACGAUCUGUAGCUGGUCUGAGAGGACGACCAGCCACACUGGGACUGAGACACGGCCCAGACUCCUACGGGAGUCAGCAGUGGGGAAUUUUGGACAAUGGGCGAAAGCCUGAUCCAGCCAUGCCGCGUGCGGGAAGAAGGCCUUCGGGUUGUAAACCGCUUUUGUCAGGGAAGAAACGCUUCGAGAUAAUACCUUGGAGUAAUGACGGUACCUGAAGAAUAAGCACCGGCUAACUACGUGCCAGCAGCCGCUGUAAUAC
rnacentral:rRNA from 1 species